rnacentral:sRNA from 1 species
ACAACAAAAAUAAUAAGCGGCAAAAACCAAACAAGAACGAUACGUAUCGGCUCUCGCACAAUAACGACAAGACGGCAGAGACGAAGCUAACCGAUUCUUUUGGAGAGGAAGCGCCAGCGGGCAUGCCCGGCGGCCAGUCGAGAAUAAAAAACUGCACGAGCAGCUCGGUGACUGGCGGUAGGUGGUGUUUCAGCGACCAAAAGCAUCCGUUAUCUACUGGGCCGAGAUGGCCUCCACCUCUUGGUGGGCAGAAAAACAAGAGCGUUCAAACUCAAGGGAGCUUCGGCUCCCUUGAGUCGUU